rnacentral:rRNA from 1 species
AGUGAACGCUGGCGGCAGGCCUAACACAUGCAAGUCGAACGAGUGGCGGACGGGUGAGGAAUACCUCGGAACCUGCCCUGUCGUGGGGGAUAACUACUGGAAACUUUCGCUAAUACCGCAUACCAUCGGAUGUGCCGAGGUCGGAUUAGCUAGUUGGCGGGGUAAAGGCUCACCUAGGCGACGAUCCCUAGCUGGUCUGAGAGGAUGAUCAGCAACACUGGAACUGAGAAACGGUCCAGAGUCCUACGGGAGGCAGCAGUGGGGAAUAUUGGACAAUGGGCGCAAGCCGGAUCCAGCCAUGCCGCGUGUGUGAAGAAGGCCUGCGGGUUGUAAAGCACUUUCGGUGGGGAGGCGGUACCCGAAGAAGAAGCACCGGCUAACUUCGUGCCAGCAGCCGCGGUAAUAC